rnacentral:rRNA from 1 species
ACGUUAGCGGCGGACGGGUGAGUAACACGUGGGUAACCUACCUAUAAGACUGGAAUAACUCCGGGAAACCGGGGCUAAUGCUGGAUAACAUUUAGAACCGCAUGGUUCUAAAGUGAAAGAUGGUUUUGCUAUCACUUAUAGAUGGACCCGCGCCGUAUUAGCUAGUUGGUAAGGUAACGGCUUACCAAGGCAACGAUACGUAGCCGACCUGAGAGGGUGAUCGGCCACACUGGAACUGAGACACGGCCCAG